AUUGAACGCUGGCGGCAGGCCUAACACAUGCAAGUCGAACGGUAACAGGAAGAAGCUUGCUUCUUUGCUGACGAGUGGCGGACGGGUGAGUAAUGUCUGGGAAACUGCCUGAUGGAGGGGGAUAACUACUGGAAACGGUAGCUAAUACCGCAUAACGUCGCAAGACCAAAGAGGGGGACCUUCGGGCCUCUUGCCAUCGGAUGUGCCCAGAUGGGAUUAGCUAGUAGGUGGGGUAACGGCUCACCUAGGCGACGAUCCCUAGCUGGUCUGAGAGGAUGACCACCCAGCCUGGAAUUGAGCCCCGGUCCGGACCCCUACGGGAGGCAGCGGGGGGGAAUGUUGCAAAAGGGGCGAAAGCCUGAUGCAGCCGUGCGGGGUGUAAGAAGAAGGCUUUGGGGUUGUAAAGUACUUUCAGGGGGGAGGAGGGGAGUAAAGUUAAUACCUUUCCUCAUUGCCGUUACCCGAAAAAGAAGCCCCGGCUAACUCCGUG
rnacentral:rRNA from 1 species